AUUGAACGCUGGCGGCAUGCCUUACACAUGCAAGUCGAACGGUAACAGGUCUUCGGAUGCUGACGAGUGGCGAACGGGUGAGUAAUACAUCGGAACGUGCCCGAUCGUGGGGGAUAACGCAGCGAAAGCUGUGCUAAUACCGCAUACGAUCUACGGAUGAAAGCGGGGGAUCGCAAGACCUCGCGCGGACGGAGCGGCCGAUGGCAGAUUAGGUAGUUGGUGGGAUAAAAGCUUACCAAGCCGACGAUCUGUAGCUGGUCUGAGAGGACGACCAGCCACACUGGGACUGAGACACGGCCCAGACUCCUACGGGAGGCAGCAGUGGGGAAUUUUGGACAAUGGGGAAACCCUGAUCCAGCCAUGCCGCGUGCAGGAUGAAGGCCUUCGGGUUGUAAACUGCUUUUGUACGGUAACGAAAAGGUACCUUUCUAAUUAAAGAAGGGCUCAUGACGGUACCGUAAGAAUAAGACACCGGCUAACUACGUGCCAGCAGCCGCGGUAACGC
rnacentral:rRNA from 1 species